rnacentral:rRNA from 1 species
UUAAGCGACCAAGCGUACACGGUGGAUGCCCUGGCAGUCAGAGGCGAUGAAGGACGUGCUAAUCUGCGAUAAGCGCCGGUAAGGUGAUAUGAACCGUUAUAACCGGCGAUUUCCGAAUGGGGAAACCCAGUGUGACUCGUCACACUAUCAUUAACUGAAUCCAUAGGUUAAUGAGGCGAACCGGGGGGAACUGAAACAUCUAAGUACCCCGAGGAAAAGAAAUCAACCGAGAUUCCCCCAGUAGCGGCGAGCGAACGGGGAGGAGCCCAGAGCCUGAAUCAGCAUGUGUGUUAGUGGAAGCGUCUGGAAAGGCGCGCGAUACAGGGUGACAGCCCCGUACACAAAAGCGCACAUGUUGUGAGCUCGAUGAGUAGGGCGGGACACGUGGUAUCCUGUCUGAAUAUGGGGGGACCAUCCUCCAAGGCUAAAUACUCCUGACUGACCGAUAGUGAACCAGUACCGUGAGGGAAAGGCGAAAAGAACCCCGGCGAGGGGAGUGAAACAGAACCUGAAACCGUGUACGUACAAGCAGUGGGAGCACAGGUUUACCUGUGUGACUGCGUACCUUUUGUAUAAUGGGUCAGCGACUUAUAUUCUGUAGCAAGGUUAACCGCAUAGGGGAGCCGAAGGGAAACCGAGUCUUAAUUGGGCGUUAAGUUGCAGGGUAUAGACCCGAAACCCGGUGAUCUAGCCAUGGGCAGGUUGAAGGUUGGGUAACACUAACUGGAGGACCGAACCGACUAAUGUUGAAAAAUUAGCGGAUGACCUGUGGCUGGGGGUGAAAGGCCAAUCAAACCGGGAGAUAGCUGGUUCUCCCCGAAAGCUAUUUAGGUAGCGCCUCGUGAAUUCAUCUCCGGGGGUAGAGCACUGUUUCGGCUAGGGGGCCAUCCCGGCUUACCAACCCGAUGCAAACUGCGAAUACCGGAGAAUGUUAUCACGGGAGACACACGGCGGGUGCUAACGUCCGUCGUGAAGAGGGAAACAACCCAGACCGCCAGCUAAGGUCCCAAAGUCAUGGUUAAGUGGGAAACGAUGUGGGAAGGCCCAGACAGCCAGGAUGUUGGCUUAGAAGCAGCCAUCAUUUAAAGAAAGCGUAAUAGCUCACUGGUCGAGUCGGCCUGCGCGGAAGAUGUAACGGGGCUAAACCAUGCACCGAAGCUGCGGCAGCGACGCUUAUGCGUUGUUGGGUAGGGGAGCGUUCUGUAAGCCUGCGAAGGUGGCCUGUGAGGGUUGCUGGAGGUAUCAGAAGUGCGAAUGCUGACAUAAGUAACGAUAAAGCGGGUGAAAAGCCCGCUCGCCGGAAGACCAAGGGUUCCUGUCCAACGUUAAUCGGGGCAGGGUGAGUCGACCCCUAAGGCGAGGCCGAAAGGCGUAGUCGAUGGGAAACGGGUUAAUAUUCCCGUACUUGGUGUUACUGCGAAGGGGGACGGAGAAGGCUAUGUUGGCCGGGCGACGGUUGUCCCGGUUUAAGCAUGUAGGCGGAGGUUCCAGGUAAAUCCGGUACCUUAUUAACGCUGAGGUGUGAUGACGAGGCACUACGGUGCUGAAGUAACAAAUGCCCUGCUUCCAGGAAAAGCCUCUAAGCAUCAGGUAACAUCAAAUCGUACCCCAAACCGACACAGGUGGUCAGGUAGAGAAUACCAAGGCGCUUGAGAGAACUCGGGUGAAGGAACUAGGCAAAAUGGUGCCGUAACUUCGGGAGAAGGCACGCUGACACGUAGGUGAAGUGGUUUACCCAUGGAGCUGAAGUCAGUCGAAGAUACCAGCUGGCUGCAACUGUUUAUUAAAAACACAGCACUGUGCAAACACGAAAGUGGACGUAUACGGUGUGACGCCUGCCCGGUGCCGGAAGGUUAAUUGAUGGGGUCAGCGCAAGCGAAGCUCCUGAUCGAAGCCCCGGUAAACGGCGGCCGUAACUAUAACGGUCCUAAGGUAGCGAAAUUCCUUGUCGGGUAAGUUCCGACCUGCACGAAUGGCGUAAUGAUGGCCAGGCUGUCUCCACCCGAGACUCAGUGAAAUUGAACUCGCUGUGAAGAUGCAGUGUACCCGCGGCAAGACGGAAAGACCCCGUGAACCUUUACUAUAGCUUGACACUGAACAUUGAGCCUUGAUGUGUAGGAUAGGUGGGAGGCUUUGAAGCGUGGACGCCAGUCUGCGUGGAGCCAACCUUGAAAUACCACCCUUUAAUGUUUGAUGUUCUAACGUGGACCCGUAAUCCGGGUUGCGGACAGUGUCUGGUGGGUAGUUUGACUGGGGCGGUCUCCUCCUAAAGAGUAACGGAGGAGCACGAAGGUUGGCUAAUCCUGGUCGGACAUCAGGAGGUUAGUGCAAUGGCAUAAGCCAGCUUGACUGCGAGCGUGACGGCGCGAGCAGGUGCGAAAGCAGGUCAUAGUGAUCCGGUGGUUCUGAAUGGAAGGGCCAUCGCUCAACGGAUAAAAGGUACUCCGGGGAUAACAGGCUGAUACCGCCCAAGAGUUCAUAUCGACGGCGGUGUUUGGCACCUCGAUGUCGGCUCAUCACAUCCUGGGGCUGAAGUAGGUCCCAAGGGUAUGGCUGUUCGCCAUUUAAAGUGGUACGCGAGCUGGGUUUAGAACGUCGUGAGACAGUUCGGUCCCUAUCUGCCGUGGGCGCUGGAGAACUGAGGGGGGCUGCUCCUAGUACGAGAGGACCGGAGUGGACGCAUCACUGGUGUUCGGGUUGUCAUGCCAAUGGCACUGCCCGGUAGCUAAAUGCGGAAGAGAUAAGUGCUGAAAGCAUCUAAGCACGAAACUUGCCCCGAGAUGAGUUCUCCCUGAGACUUAGAGUCUCCUGAAGGAACGUUGAAGACGACGACGUUGAUAGGCCGGGUGUGUAAGCGCAGCGAUGCGUUGAGCUAACCGGUACUAAUGAACCGUGAGGCUUAACCUU